UACGUAGGGUGCAAGCGUUGUCCGGAAUUAUUGGGCGUAAAGAGCUCGUAGGCGGUGUGUCGCGUCGGCCGUGAAAACUUGCAGCUUAACUGUGGGCGUGCGGUCGAUACGGGCAUCACUGGAGUUCGGCAGGGGAGACUGGAAUUCCUGGUGUAGCGGUGAAAUGCGCAGAUAUCAGGAGGAACACCCGUGGCGAAGGCGGUUCUCUGGGACGGUACUGACGCUGAGACGCGAAAGCGUGGGGAGCGAACAGG
rnacentral:rRNA from 1 species